AACCUGCAUUCAGUUAUAAUCCAUACAUUUGAGUUAAUUUAUCUGAAUUUUGACAAAUGGAUAAAUGGUAGAUCGUUCAUGGGCAUUUUUAAUUGAUUGGUUCUUUGGAAAUGCCAUCCUAUGAAUAUGUGUGUGUGUACACAUAUGGAGAAUGAUACAGCCAGACAUUUCUUGUUAGCAGCAGGUCAAAUACAAAAAAUGAAAAUAAAAACUCAAAGUAAAGCACUGUGUUUAUUUAGUGCACACGGGAACUUCCUUUUUGCCUCCUAUUUUACAGCUACCACGAGUUACUUGGAAAAGCAAAACAAACAAGAGGCAGCCAUCUGAUUUAUCCUUCUGCAUUAAUGGUCUUUUAAUUUUAUUUCCAUUUUAACUGGUUUUCUUCCAUUAUCUUCUUGGCCCCUCCUCUUCCCCUUACCCAUCAUGUUGUGUCUUUAUCUCACGGUGACUAAUGCCUCGGUUUUAUAGCUCUAAUGUUCUCAAUGGCAAACAUGAACAACCGACCUUUGGCCCCUUCGCAUUUCACAAGUUUUGCUGCUCUUAUAUGCUCGCAAGCAGAAGUACCAGCUGGGCAGGUGCGGGUGGAAAGGGAGCUAAGAAAGGGAACGGAAGGACGUAUUUGAGAGAAGAAAAACUUGACCAAGUGGUGGGCACAGAGCAAAUAUCCUCGCUUUAAAAUAUCAAGCGUGCAGUACACGCAAGAAGCAACGCUGGCAUGGACUACGCGGCAUCAUGAGAGAACAAAAAGUGGAUCAGAUUUUGGGGGCCCUGCUCUUCUUGACCCAGCUUCUGUGGCAUGCUGGUGGUGUGAUCAGAUGUGACAAAGAUGGCUACAUGAUCAAUGUAAUGCUCAUGAAUGACUCUAUGCUUCCAGUGAGUGCGGGAGAAAUAGAACCAGCUGUGGAAUGGGGCAUGAAACUGGUGAAAUCUGACCUGAAAGCAAACAACGUGAAUGUGAAUGUCAGUGCCGCAUUUGAUGGCAUCGACACGUCGCUGUACGUCUCCAAUGGCUGCCGCACCAGCACGUGUGAAGGUGUGGAAUUCAUCAAGCAGAUUUAUGCUGAUAAAAAACUUGGGUGUACUAUUCUAGGCCCAACGUGCACCUUUGCCACAUUCCAGAUGGUCUCAUUAGAGACAGAGGUGGUCCCACCUCUGAUCUCUGCAGGGAGUUUUGGGUUGACUUGUGAUUACCAAGAAAAGUUAACAAGGCUGUUGACUCCAGCCAGGAAGUUGAACUACUUCUUGGUUGAUUUCUGGAAGAAUUCCACGUUGCCAUUCAAAAGUGUCACAUGGGAAACUACUUACAUCUAUAAGGAAGACAAUGACACUGAAGAUUGCUUCUGGUAUAUGAAUGCUAUGGAAGCUUCAGUGACCUACUUCUCUGUAAACAUGAAAUUCCGGGAGAUCCUCAGGAGCUCAAUAGAACUACAAAGGAUUGUGAAUAAUCCAAAAAGAAAAAGUAAUGUGAUCAUCACAUGUAGGUCUCCAGGUGACCUUAAAAGACUCCUAGGAAAAGCAGAGGUGAAUGAGGACAUAGUUAUCAUCCUGAUAGAUCUUCACAGCAAUGUGUACUAUGAAGAUGCUCCCUCAUACAGUUACAUGAAGAAUGUCCUUGUCCUGACUCUGGAACCAUCAAACUUCACUGCAAUUUCAAACAGUAGUGGGAUUCCUUGGACUCCAGAUGCAACGCCUUGGAUGAAAAAUGACUUUGCUGUUGCCUACUUGGAUGCUGUCUUGCUCUUCGGACAUGCCUUGAAAAAACUUUCUCUUGCAAGCCCUUUCAUUGCUCCCACUAGCUUCAACAGCCAGUUUCGGAAUGUUACUUUUAAAGGUAUUCUUGGUCCUGUAGUCCUGGAUAAAUUUGGGGAUGUUGAUGUCAAUCUCACCCUUAUGUACACGACAAAUAAUUUAGAAUACAAGGCCCUCCUACGGUUUGACACUCAUCUGAAUGAGACAGUACCAAAGACGGACAAACCAUCAUUCAUCUGGAAAAAAAACACCCUGCCUAGUGAUAUUCCUGGCACUGGGCCGCACAUUCUGACAAUAGCUGUUUUCACACUUGCUGGGGUUGUGGUGGUAGUUCUGAUCAUCGCUCUGCUGCUACUGAGGAAAUAUAGAAGAGCCAUUGAACUCCAGAAAAAAUGGUCCCACAUCCCAUCUGACAAGAUUGUUCCUCUGGAGACUAACGAGACAAGUCAUGUUAGUCUGAAGAUUGAUGACGACACAAGGCGUGACACUAGCCAGAGGCUGCGGCAAGGCAAAUAUGACAAGAAGGUGAUAAUCCUGAAGGAUUUAAAGCACAAUGAUGGGAAUUUUACAGAGAAACAGAGAAUAGACCUAAACAAGCUCCUUCAGAUUGACUAUUACAAUCUGACUAAGUUCUAUGGCACUGUCAAGAUGGACACGAUGAUCUAUGGAGUGAUUGAAUACUGCGAGAGAGGAUCAUUGCGGGAUGUCUUGAAUGAUAAAAUCUCCUACCCAGAUGGCACCUUCAUGGACUGGGAAUUUAAGAUUUCUGUCAUGUAUGAUAUUGCAAAAGGAAUGUCCUACCUGCAUUCCAGCAAAACAGAGCUUCAUGGCCGCCUGAAAUCUACAAACUGUGUUGUGGAUAACCGCAUGGUUGUGAAGAUAACUGAUUAUGGCUGCAAUUCUAUUCUUCCGCCAAAAAAAGAUCUCUGGACUGCUCCUGAACACCUCCGCCAUGGUGACAUAUCUCAGAAAGGCGAUGUGUACAGCUUUGGAAUUAUAGCACAAGAGAUCAUACUGCGUAAGGAGACCUUCUACACUGACAAUUGUCGGGAUCAUAAAGAGAAACUUUGCAGAGUAGAAAGCAAUAAAGGAGCAAGACCUUUCCGGCCGGAUCUUCUAUUGCAUUCAGAGGGAGAGAAAAAGCAAGAGGUAUAUCUCCUCGUGGAAAGCUGCUGGGAGGAAGACCCAGAGAAGAGACCAGAUUUUAAGAAAAUUGAGACUACCUUGGCUAAGAUAUUUAGCAACUACCACAGCCAAACCAAUGAAAGCUACAUGGACACCUUAAUCCGACGCCUGCAGCUGUAUUCACGGAACCUGGAGCACCUGGUGGAAGAGAGAACUGAGCUGUACAAAGCAGAGCGAGACAGAGCUGACAGGCUUAACUUCAUGCUUCUUCCAGGGCCUGUGGUAAAGUCACUGAAGGAAACUGGACGGGUAGAGCCAGAACUGUUUAAAGAAGUCACCAUCUACUUCAGUGACAUUGUAGGCUUCACAACCCUUUGUAAAUACAGCACCCCUAUGGAAGUGGUGGACAUGCUCAAUGACAUCUACAAGAACUUUGAUCAAAUUCUUGACCCUCAUGAUGUCUAUAAGGUAGAGACCAUUGGAGAUGCAUAUAUGGUAGUAAGCGGUUUACCAAAGAGAAAUGGCAACCGUCACGCAGUGGACAUUUCCAUGAUGGCAUUAGAUAUACUCAGCUUCAUGGGCUCCUUUGAACUCGGACAUCUUCCAGGUCUUCCUGUAUGGAUUCGAAUAGGAAUUCACUCUGGUCCAUGUGCAGCUGGUGUGGUUGGGAUUAAGAUGCCUCGCUACUGCUUGUUUGGAGAUACUGUGAACACAGCUUCAAGAAUGGAAUCUACAGGAUUACCUCUACGGAUUCAUGUAAGUGGUUCCACUAUUGCUAUUCUCAAGAGAACAGACUGCCAAUUCCAAUAUGAAGAGCGAGGAGAGACAUAUUUGAAGGGCAAAGGAACUGAGAUCACUUACUGGCUGACAGGAGUGAAAGACCAGAAAUACAAUCUUCCAACACCUCCUUCUGUGUAAGUGAUUUCUUGGAGAGCUGGUUGUUAAUAGAAUGCACAAAUCAAUAUUUACAGUAGUAUGCCUCUAAAUACCAGAUACUGUAUAGGGAAUUGCAAGCACCAUUACACUCAGAUCCUGCUUGGAAGCUUCCCAUUGGCAUCUGGUUGGCCACUGAGAACAAAAUGCUGGAUUAGAUGCACCCUGACCCAAUACAGCAGGCACUUCUAGGUAUGUUCUUAAGUAGGGCAAAUCUAAUCCCCUCUCACUAGGCUGUGGCCCCAGUCAAGAUCACACAAUAUAUCUGAGCUACUAAACAGAGCAAAAACACUUGUAGCUGCAAGUUUUCCCUUCUGCCCCUAAUAGGAGCUGAAGGGAAAGAGACUUAGCUUGGGGUUGUGACAUGAGGGAGGGGGUUAGAGUUCCAUUAUACUGGAGCCCUGGGCUUAGUCCUUCGCCUAUAUAAAUAAGAAUUAUAAAUAUAAGAAUUAGACCAGGAAGUUAUCUGUGAAAAUGGUUAAGUUGCACCAUUUCUACCUUGCUUCCAUCCUACUUACUGGGCAUCCACAUUCAUCCUUGACAGGAAAUUCCCUAUAUUGUUCUGUGUAGCAGCAGAGAUGGGUGACAUUCCUUCACUACUCAUCCGCAGUUUUGUUUUCUGCUCCCUAUGGAGGUG